rnacentral:misc_RNA from 1 species
UAUUGGAAAGGAAACAUCAACAUUGUUACAAGAGAGAAUUAAUCCCAAGACGUUCCUUGAUGAACAGUAUUACACAUGCUCGCAGUCAAGGAAAUCAGUUCAAGCUGUGAAAUACCGAAAUGGAUAUUUAUUAUCAGUACGAAAUUUAUUUAAGGAGGUUCGACGCUCGAAGAAGACAUGAAUAAUUCAUAAUUUAAAAUAAAAUGUAACAUAUUUUAAUACCAAUUAAACAUGGAAGGUUUACUGCAGGAAAUUACAGAAAAAAUAAGAUACAAAUGGCCUUCUAAUAAAACGUUGAAGUAUCAUUUAAAUAACUUCGGCCCGGAAAAGGAUAUUCGUAAAUUAAAAGAAAUAUUUUUCAUUAAUAACAUUCAUCAUAAAAGACAAAUUUUUCAAGAAAAAAUUCAAUUUUUGUUCGUACAUCUUUAUUAUAUCAAACAAAUGUUGCACUACAUAUGAAAAAUGAAGUCACGUCAUAAUACAGAACAGAAGGAAGGGAAUAUUUGAUACAAUAAAGACAAUACCUUAAUUUCAUUUGAACUGUGAAAUGUAUAUAAUUAUAUAGUAAAUUAUUUAUUAGUACCUUUCUUUUUAACAUAAAAAUUCAUGAUACAUAUUCCUAAAUGCAAAUUAAUAUUAUUAAAAAUUAAAAAUAUCAUUUGUACAUUAAAAUAAUUGCUAUAGUAAAUAAUUAAUUUCGACUUUUAAAUUUUUUAAGAUAAAGUAUUUUACAAAACCUUAUUCAGUAUAUUACAAAUGAUAUUUGUAUAUUUUAAUGACUUAAUAUUAAUUUGUAUAUUUUACAUGUACAAUUUUUAUAUAUUAAAAAAAUUGGUACUAAUAAAUUUUAUGCUCAAUACAUUUCUUAAAAUAACUAAAAGUCAUCUUUCAAGUAUUAAAUAAUAAAAAAGAAAUUAAUAAAAUGUUUCAUUUGAGCUAUAGGUACAAUAUUAGUACUUAAGUGUGUAAAAUCGGUUACCUUAUGACUGUCCUACAUUUUUCGAUAACAUAUAUUGUAAACAGGACAAAUUGUUUCCACUUAAAGUUUAUGAUAAAUAAUUGAAAAUAUUCAUUAAAUAUUUAGUUAAAUUUAUAAAAGAGAAUUUGACUGCUUCAGAUGAAUAUUAAUCUGUAGCUAAUCUCUAAUUUCUUACAUAUAAAAGUUUUACUGUUGAUAAUAAAAUGGUAAUAUGCGAUGUAUUUGGCGUAGGUAAUCAAAUUCUGUAUGUUAUCAAACAAAAAUUAUGCACAAUGUUAGAAUAGAAGUAAAAAUUUAUAAGUAAUUGUAUUGCAGACUACA